GCCAAACAUGACGAAUUUACUCAGCUGUGUGGAACAUCUAAAAUCUUUACCAGACUAUCGGACUGGCUAGCUGUAAAUUUAGACCGUCCGUCAGAAUUCUAGCCCGUCUCGGGCUGUCGGACGGGCCUUAUUUCAUA